GGCCAGGGCAAAAAGAUAGGUAGGAUAUUGUAAGCACCUGUGUGAUUCUGGAUGCAAAUCUGUUCUGGGGUUAUCUCAUUACAAGCAAACAAGGAACAAGGGAACAUGUUGUUAGAUGUCCUGUUUCAUUAAGCUUUUUCUAAGCCUGAAAAAUAGAAGUUCUUAUACUUAUCCUGCUGCUAUGCCUGGCACCCAUCUAUUAUCCUGGCCCAGGUCCAAGCAGUAGAGUAAGCUGCAAUGGAAGGAGAGCUGGUACAAUAUGGCGAGGAGCACAGCAGUGGGCCACUAUGCAGGAAAGUAUGCAACAUGCCUGGGGUCUCAGCAAGAUCAAGCAGUGAGGAGGGUCCCACAGCAGCACAGCACCAGGGGCUUGGCACUUCUCAUGAAUAGGGAAAGCAAUUUUAACAUACAUCUCCACCUUUAAUUCAGCGCAUCAGUUUUAGUGACAAUCAUUACAAUUGAGUUGGCACGUCUAUGAACCUGAGAGGCGUUGUCAGAAAGCGGAAAAGAGAGCACACAAGCUGAAGUCGGAGCAUUUGUUCCUUGACAGUUCAAGCACGGUGGCAGCCAGAUAGGGCUGAAAAAAAACAAGAAGGCACUAUAGUUCCUCCUCGCUGAUCUGAAGCCUGCAAACAGAUACCAAUUCAGACAUAAAUACUUGGAGCAGCCUGGUUUCCUGGGAGGUUGUUGUAAGAGUGAGGCAUACCGAGCCCUUCUCUGAAGGUUUGUGUUUCAUGACCCCAUUUUGAUGACUGAUCGUUUCUAACAUUCAUUUUCUGCAAAGAUUCUCUCUCAGAGAACCCAUUAAUAUUACGAAUGAGUGUUUUUGGGGGGGUUCAUACUGUAAUUUAUCUCUUUAUUCUUACAGCUGGCAAAAAAU
rnacentral:lncRNA from 1 species